rnacentral:rRNA from 1 species
GACGAACGUUGGCGGCGUGCUUAAUACAUGCAAGUCCACUGAAGCAGUGGUAGCAAUAUCGCUGUGGAGUUGGCGCACGGGUGAUUAACACGUAGGUAAUCUGCCUUCAGGUCUGGCAUAACUCCGUGAAACCGGGGCUAAUAGCAGAUGAUGCAGCGGCUCGACAUCGAGACCGUUGUUAAAGCUCUGUCGUCUUAAGAUGAGCCUGCGUCUGAUUAGCUAGUUGGCGGGGUAACGGCCCACCAAGGCAACGAUCAGUAGCUGGUCUGAGAGGAUGAUCAGCCACACUGGAACUGAGACACGGUCCAGACUCCUACGGGAGGCAGCAGUAAGGAAUAUUGCUCAAUGGGAGAAAUCCUGAAGCAGCAACGCCGCGUGAGGGACGAAGGGCUUUUGAUUGUAAACCUCUGUAGUGAGAGAAAAAAAUCCCAAUCUUUGGGACAUGAUGGUAUCUCAAAAGUAAGCCCCGGCUAACUACGUG